ACGCUGACGUCAAUAAAAACAGUCAUUUCCAACCAGUCUGCGCAUUGACCGACCGUUCAAAACAUUACGCACAGCAUCGCUUCUGUUGGACCCGCUGCUGCUGCUGCUGCUGCUGCUGCACAUCUCGACUGAACAUAUAAAUGUCUUCUUCUUCUUCUUCCUCGAGCAUCGGAGAGAGAGGAGACAAUGCGGAGACAAAACGCCAUUGCAGGUGCAGGAGCAUCUAGAACAAUCCAGGUAUGAUGGCAGGAAAAGAGCUCUCCAUCCAUGGCGGAUCAUCAUCACCAUCAUCAUCAUCACCACACUGCUCUACGCUUUUAGCCUCUUUACAGUGCUGCCUUGUCUAAUCAUGUUCAAGCAGCAUUGUACAGGGCUAUGACAGCAUAGAGAGCUGAGCUGCGUUUCUCUCUGACCCUCUGGAUGGCAGCCAACCAAUGACAUCAUCCCUUUAAAAACACUAAAUGGUGAUUUUAUUUUUUGUGAUUUUUCUUUUAAUUUUCAUGCUCAAUGAUGUUGUCUAAAACUGAAAUGCCUUUUGCUUUAAAUACAACUGGAGCUGCAUGGAGUUUCUCCUUGGGUUGAGUUAUUCAAACCUUAAAUCCCUUUGCAGCCAAUACAGUAUUGAGCCAAUUAGUCACAUUGCAUUGUGCUGCUUCUCCAUUCUCCCUAAAAAAAAUCUUUGAUCUUUGAAAAACUCAUUGCUCUUAUAAAUACUGCUGUUGUUAAUGUAUUUCCAGAAUCAUUUAAGACUCUUUUAACCAUCUGUAUGAAAAAAUAUUCAGUUUGCUUCAUGAUAACAACGAUUUUUUUAACACAACUUCUUCUGGAAAGGUCUUUGUUUGGGGAAUAUGUUUGUACUGUAAUUAUGCAUGUAGACUAGCACUGCAACCGAUGAUUAUUUUCAUUAUUGAUUAAUCACUUGGUCUAUAAAAUAAAAAUAAAAAAAUAAAAAAUU